AUUGGACAUAGGAAGAACCCACAGCCAUGGUUACCUGAUGGUGCCAGAAGAGCACAAUCCUCUUUCACCUUUCCUUGCACGGUUAAUGGUUUUCAUUUGAUUGGGAAAUACUUCUGCAAGGCAUUAUGGAAAAGUCUGCUGGGUGUUUGUCCUGCUCCCUCCCAGGUGGAGGAACCCAAAUACUCCAGCCUUCAGAUACCACAGCCUUGAAUGCCACAGGAUGAGGUGUUCAGCAACACAGAAGCAGGAGAUCAUCAGGGGAAACCUCUUUGUCCAGAUUACACCUGCAUUGAGAUAAGUUUUAAUGAUGAUUUUUUUAGACUGUAGCUGCCAAUUAAGCUCAAGCUAAUGCUAGUAAGAAACUAGAGUAGGUAAUUCAAAUAGACUAUAGAUUUUCUUAAAUUAAUUAGCUCCCAUUGAGGGUUGAACAUAACUAAAAAUAAUUACAUAUGAAUUAUGAAGUUCAAAUAGAAUGUGUUACUUUACUCACACAAAACUUCAAGGGAGACAAAUCAGAGAGGUUUAUUAGCAUAUUCUACUUUUCCAACAAACCUUAGCAGGAAGGGAAAAUAUAAUAAUAUAAAGGAGUUGAAGAUUCAUGUUUCCAUAAUAGCUGUAUCCGCGCUAUCUUACCUGUGAAAUUUAUUCUCUGUGGGUGGUGAUGCUGUUAAAUAGUUAUUAUUUCUUAGCCAUCUUUAUUUUUCCCCCUGUAAGCAGCUCUUUUGUCUAUGUCCAUUAACAUGCAAUCCUCUCCUACCCUGAAAUUUCUUAAGCUGCAUUACACCUGAGCUGGGGGUUUUGCAGGGAGCAAAGGGCAGAACACAAAACUGAUGAUAAAUACACUCCCAAAAAUUCAUUUUUAUUUGAGCUCACUCAUUCUAAUUGUUCUCUUGAGGCUCGAUUUGGAGCACAGAGGAAUCCAAAGGGGGCUCACUGGGCUGUGGGUCAGGUUUUCAGGUCACCUGUACAUGGCAGGUGGUGAAUAAUGAGCAGCACAGUGCCAGCCCCUUGGCCUGACCCUGAGGAUGGAGUAAGAAUUCAGCCACUGAUCUCAUCAAGUGCAGUCUCAGGGAUGCAGCAGAGCACAGCACCCACUUCUCCUGCUGUUGUAAAUGUAGGUGAACC